GACGAACGCUGGCGGCGUGCUUAACACAUGCAAGUCGAACGGAAAGGCCCUGCUUUUGUGGGGUGCUCGAGUGGCGAACGGGUGAGUAACACGUGAGUAACCUGCCCUUGACUUUGGGAUAACUUCAGGAAACUGGGGCUAAUACCGGCUAGGAGCUCCUGCUGCAUGGUGGGGGUUGGAAAGUUUCGGCGGUUGGGGAUGGACUCGCGGCUUAUCAGCUUGUUGGUGGGGUAUUGGCUAACCAAGCCUUGGACGGGUGGCCGGCCUGAGAGGGUAACCGGCCACAUUGGGACUGAGAUACGGCCCAGACUCCUACGGGAGGCAGCAGUGGGGAAUAUUGCACAAUGGGCGGAAGCCUGAUGCAGCAACGCCGCGUGCGGGAUGACGGCCUUCGGGUUGUAAACCGCUUUCGCCUGUGACGAAGCGUGAGUGACGGUAAUGGGUAAAGAAGCACCGGCUAACUACGUG
rnacentral:rRNA from 1 species